GACGAACCGUCCUAACGUUGUUCGGAAUCACUGGGCUUAAAGGGCGCGUAGGCGGUCGGCAAAGUCAGGGGUGAAAUCUUUCGGCUCAACCCGGAAAAGUGCCUUUGAAACUAGUGACUCGAGCGAGAUAGGGGCACGUGGGAAACUUCCGGUGGGAGCGGUGAAAUGACGUUGAUAUCGGAAGGAAACGCCGGUGGCGAAAGCGAACGUGCUGGGAUCUCUUCUGACGCUGAGGCGCGAAAAAG
rnacentral:rRNA from 1 species